rnacentral:rRNA from 1 species
AUUGAACGCUGGCGGCAGGCCUAACACAUGCAAGUCGAGCGAGCGGCGGACGGGUGAGUAAUGUCUGGGAAACUGCCUGAUGGAGGGGGAUAACUACUUGAAACGGUAGCUAAUACCGCAUACCAUCAGAUGUGCCCAGAUGGGAUUAGCUAGUAGGUGGGGAAAAGCCUCACCUAGGCGACGAUCCCUAGCUGGUCUGAGAGGAUAACCAGCCACAAUGGAAAUGAGAAACGGUGCAGAAGCCUACGGGAGGCAGCGGUGUGGAGUAUUGCACAAUGGGCGCAAGCCUGAUGCAGCCAUGCCGCGGGUGUGAAGAAGGCCUUCGGGUUGUAAAGCACUUUCAGCGGGGAGGCGUUACCCGCAGAAGAAGCACCGGCUAACUCCGUGCCAGCAGCCGCGGUAAUUC